CCAACAUCCUGUCAAACACCAGGUAAUACCAACAUCCUGUCAAACACCAGGUAAUACCAACAUCCUGUCAAACACCAGGUAAUACCAACAUCCUGUCAAACACCAGGUAAUACCAACAUCCUGUCAAACACCAGGUAAUACCAACAUCCUGUCAAACACCAGGUAAUACCAACAUCCUGUCAAACACCAGGUAAUACCAACAUCCUGUCAAACACCAGGUAAUACCAACAUCCUGUCAAACACCAGGUAAUACCAACAUCCUGUCAAACACCAGGUAAUACCAACAUCCUGUCAAACACCAGGUAAUACCAACAUCCUGUCAAACACCAGGUAAUACCAACAUCCUGUCAAACACCAGGUAAUACCAACAUCCUGUCAAACACCAGAUAAUACCAACAUCCUGUCAAACACCAGAUAAUACAAACAUCCUGUCAAACACCAGGUAAUGGUGUUUGACGGGUCUGGACACCAAGCUCAGAGCCCUGGGCCUGGACACCAAACUCAGAGACCUGGGCCUGGACACCAAGC